GCCCAGGUGGCGAAAUUGGUAGACGCACUACUUUGAGGUGGUAGCGCCGGUUUUACGGCGUGCUGGUUCGAAUCCAGUCUUGGGCA
rnacentral:tRNA from 1 species